GGACUACCGGGGUAUCUAAUCCUGUUUGCUCCCCUUGCUCUCGCGCCUCAGCGUCAGGUAUAAACUAGAAAACCGCUUUCGCCACCGAUGUUCUUCCACAUAUCUACGCAUUUCACCGCUACACGUGGAAUUCCGUUUUCUCCGUCAAUCCUCUAGAAAUAUAGUUUCAAAUGCAGCUCCAAAGUUGAGCUUUGGAAUUUCACAUCUGACUUAUUUUUCCGCCUACGCGCCCUUUACGCCCAAUAAUUCCGAUUAAUGCUUGCACUCUCCGUAUUACCGCGGCUGCUGGCAC
rnacentral:rRNA from 1 species